GUUCCCAGCUGGUGAUGCUUGGCUGAGCUGGAACUGCAACUGCAGCAGGCUGAUGCUCCGGGUACCAAGCCGUGCCAGACACUCCCCAGGAAGUGCAGCGAGAGCUGGGUCAAGAACCUCCUUUCUACUCCUAAAAAUCCCCUUGUAAGCUUGCAGGUUUCAGGAUGUAGUCCCAGGUGACCUGGAGCUCACUGUGUACACCAGGCUGGACUCAAGCAUCUGCCUCCUGGGUGCUGGGAUUGAAGAAGUGGCACUCCAAGCCCAGCCCUCUAAAUUGCAACAUUCUUAAGAAACAGCGAGAUCCACAUUUCCCAUUUAAUGAAAACUAGGAUAAUAGUUAAAAUACCUUUUAAAUCAAUCUUUAUAAAUAACACAUUGACAUAAAAAUUAUCUAGGAGCACAAAACACAGUCCCACUUGUCUGAUCAGCUUCGACGUCUCCAUUUCAGUAACUUAUUUCCAUGCUGUCAGUAACUUUUACUCAGUGAAAGUCUAAUAAUAUCAAGAAUGCUUAAAUCAGAGUUCAUGUGCCCCAAAGGUUUGUUUUGUACUUUAGGGGAGUGCAGUCUAAGUGCUGAGAACCACAGCCAUAUGGGAUAAAUAGAAGCAAUGUUGAAGUGUCUUUACAAAUAAAGAAUUUAAAUAGAA